ensembl:processed_transcript Scarletltr Scarletltr, erythroid developmental long intergenic non-protein coding transcript
AGACCCAGGGCAGGGACCGGACCAGGGAGCAAAGAGAUGGGGGAAGACACAGCUUCUGGUGUUCCUGUAGCUUUGGGCGUCUGCCAGGCAACAGAAGCCCCUUUGCCUUUCCAGCGCAGGAGAGCCUCAGGCUCCUGCUCUGCACACCCCUCCCCACUCCAACCCCAGCCCUCACUGGCUCAGUGCAAACUUAAAAGGUUUCCCUGUGUAGCCCUGGCUGUCCUUGUAGACCAAGCUGGCCUUGGAUUCACAAGGGUCCCGCCUGUGCCUCUUUAUUGCUGGAAUCAAAGGCACAAGUACCACC